GCUCAUUUAUGCCGGCGACCGGCGCACGGGUGAGUAACACGUAUGCAACCUGCCCGUCUCAGGGGGAUAAUCGUCGGAAACGGCGUCUAAUACCCCGUAUGAAGCUGGACGGCAUCGUCUGGUUUUGAAAGAAUAUCGGAGACGGAUGGGCAUGCGGCGCAUUAGCUGGUUGGCGGGGUAACGGCCCACCAAGGCGACGAUGCGUAGGGGUUCUGAGAGGAAGGUCCCCCACACUGGUACUGAGACACGGACCAGACUCCUACGGGAGGCAGCAGUGAGGAAUAUUGGUCAAUGGGCGAGAGCCUGAACCAGCCAAGUCGCGUGAGGGAGUACUGCCCUAUGGGUUGUAAACCUCUUUUGUCGGGGAGCAAAAGCCGGACGUGUCCGGCUGUGAGAGUACCCGAAGAAAAAGCAUCGGCUAACUCCGUGCCAGCAGCCGCGGUAAUACGGAGGAUGCGAGCGUUAUCCGGAUUUAUUGGGUUUAAAGGGUGCGCAGGCGGAUUUUUAAGUCAGCGGUCAAAUCGUGGGGCUCAACCCCAUCCAGCCGUUGAAACUGGGGAUCUAGAGUGUGCGAGAGGUAUGCGGAAUGCGUGGUGUAGCGGUGAAAUGCAUAGAUAUCACGCAGAACCCCGAUUGCGAAGGCAGCAUACCGGUGCACAACUGACGCUCAGGCACGAAAGCGUGGGUAUCGAACAGGAUUAGAUACCCUGGUAGUCCACGCAGUAAACGAUGAAUGCUACCUGUUUGGCCUGAUUGAAGGCUGAGCGGGACAGCGAAAGCGUUAAGCAUUCCACCUGGGGAGU
rnacentral:rRNA from 1 species